rnacentral:tRNA from 1 species
ACAAAUGGUUAAUGUGUUUGGCUGCUAAUCAAAAGGUUGGAGGUUCGAAUCCACC